UUUCUUUGUAUACAAAAAGUGUUGUCGCUUGUCACUUUAUAACAUUCUUUCAUACUUUUCUGUACCUUGACAGUGUUCAUUACUUGCCAGUCAAUAGAUCAGCCACAAGCCCCUCCCAGUUCUUUUCUAAAAUAUCUUAAAUUGUGUUCCGAGCAUAAAUAAAGCUUUCACGGGUUUGGAAUGACAUAUAAUUAAUAAGAAAAAAAAAAAUCAUUUUCAGGUAAAGUAUCCCUUUAAAUCAAUAGAGAAUUUGUAAUAAAAAUUAUUGUCUUGUUUUCAGAAAAAAAAAAAAACAAAUAUGGCGUGCAAGCAAAUUAAUCAGGUUUUCUGUGUGUUGGUUUUAGAUAUUUUAACUGAAAACAAGCCAAAGCAUCAAAUUAAGCAACAGAAGGAGCAGACAUCACAAAUAUUUUAUGUCAAAUAUUUAUUCACAUGGUAUAUGUGUGUACAUGUGCCUGAUAGAUUUUGAUAUUUUAACAUAAUUAUGUACGCGAUUAUGUGGCUCACAAGAUGCAUGAAUGUUAGAACUUGCUCAAGAGAUCACCUUGCGAUUGGCUGAAUGUUCUAAGUCAUAGAACAUGGUCGGAAAUAUUGGCGAUAGGUCAAAAAAGUCCUGGAGAGAGGUUACUAACAGUUGCUUUAUUAUGUAGUUCAUUAUGGUUCCAGUUGUGUUUGUUCGUUAUUCACGCAUCAAUAGUAAAAAAAAAAUGGUGUGAUGAACACCUCUGUUCAUCAGUUUGCAUUGGCUACCAAUAAAAUUCAAGGCAUUGAUGUUUGCCUACAAAACCA